GAAUUUGAGGGUGACCUGGCCGUGACAAGCCACCCCACUGAUCACCAGUGUUUUUUUCACCUGAUCUUACUGGCUUCCUGGGUAUCCCUUUCUCCUCCACAGUUCAGUGUUUGUCCUUCCUGAAGCAGAAUGCUCGGUCAAAAAGGACACCUUUUUCCCCUCUUAAUAUUAAAGGCCUUUUCAUGUCGAUUUCUGUUUAGGUAAGUUUCAGAAUAUUAGUUUAUGGCAUUUAAAAUCAAUCAUAGGAAUAAGAAAUCCUCUUCUUU
rnacentral:snRNA from 1 species